rnacentral:misc_RNA from 1 species
GCGACUAUUCACGUAAAUCUCCCACCCCCAACAAUUUCCGUCGUCGUUCCCGGCGUGCCCUUCCGAUAGACCGGAGGAAUCCAUGAACGUCGGCGUUUAUGAGGUGUGGACCACAUGCCAGGCGCAAAAAUGAGAAAGAAAUCUAAUUCUAGGAGAGUAAACUCCCUACCUCAACAACCUUCCAUGGCUUCUUCCCUCGCUAGUUCCUCUCGUUUUCUUCUCCAUUACAGAAAGAUCUCCGCCCUUGUAUUUUUUAUCCUAGUUGUUUGUUUGAUAGUUGUUUUGAACACCUCGUUGCGAAAGGAAGGCGUGUCUCAAUCAGACGUUCCCUCGAAUCGACUUUACACAGUCGAAGUGGUCAAUGAGUUCCCUCACGAUCCCGAUGCAUUCACUCAGGGACUACUGUAUGCAGAAAAUGACACCCUAUUUGAGUCUACUGGGAUGAAUGGGGCUUCAUCUGUUCGGAAAGUCACUCUGCAGACUGGCAAGGUUAAGGCUAUUCAGAGAAUGCCGUACUCUGAUUUUGGGGAGGGCUUAACUCUUCUUGGUGAUAGGUUGAUUCAAGUAACUUGGCGGCAGAGUACUGGUUACAUAUAUGAUCGGCAUAAUCUCAGCAAAUUUGAGAAGUUUCGCCAUGAUAUGCCCGAUGGUUGGGGAUUGGCAACUGAUGGGAAAGUACUUUUUGGAAGUGAUGGAACAUCAACAUUAUAUAAGAUUGACCCUAAGACAAUGAAAGUCAUCAGAAAACAAGUUGUCAAGUCUCAAGGGCAUGAAGUGCACUACCUCAAUGAGCUGGAGUAUGUGAAAGAGGAAGUAUGGUCAAAUGUCUAUGCGACUGAUUGCAUUGCUAGAAUUUCACCCAAAGAUGGCACUGUGAUCG